GGUGCAGAUGAUGACACUGUAAAGCGACCAAAGUCUGAACAAAAUGAUUGGUACUUCAUUGUCUGAUGCACC
ensembl:snoRNA